ACGGGAGGCAGCAGUGGGGAAUUUUGGACAAUGGGCGCAAGCCUGAUCCAGCCAUGCCGCGUGAGUGAAGAAGGCCUUCGGGUUGUAAAGCUCUUUCAGACGGAAAGAAAACUUCUGGGUUAAUACCCUGGGAGGAUGACGGUACCGUAAGAAGAAGCACCGGCUAACUACGUGCCAGCAGCCGCGGUAAUACGUAGGGUGCGAGCGUUAAUCGGAAUUACUGGGCGUAAAGCGUGCGCAGGCGGUGAUGUAAGACAGAUGUGAAAUCCCCGGGCUCAACCUGGGAACUGCGUUUGUGACUGCAUCACUCGAGUACGGCAGAGGGAGGUGGAAUUCCGCGUGUAGCAGUGAAAUGCGUAGAGAUGCGGAGGAACACCGAUGGCGAAGGCAGCCUCCUGGGCCAGUACUGACGCUCAUGCACGAAAGCGUGGGGAGCAAACAGGAUUAGAUACCCUGGUAGUCCACGCCCUAAACGAUGUCAACUAGUUGUUCGGUGAGGAGACUCAUUGAGUAACGCAGCUAACGCGUGAAGUUGACCGCCUGGGGAGUACGGCCGCAAGGUUAAAACUCAAAGGAAUUGACGG
rnacentral:rRNA from 1 species